rnacentral:rRNA from 1 species
CCAUGCCGCGUGAAUGAUGAAGGUCUUAGGAUUGUAAAGUUCUUUCGCUCGUGACGAUGAUGACGGUAACGAGAGAAGAAGCCCCGGCUAACUUCGUGCCAGCAGCCGCGGUAAUACGAAGGGGGCUAGCGUUGUUCGGAAUUACUGGGCGUAAAGCGCGCGUAGGCGGCUUUGCAAGCCAGAGGUGAAAUGCCUGAGCUCAACUUAGGAAUUGCCUUUGGGACUGCAAGGCUUCGAGGACUGGAGAGGUGAGUGGAAUUCCCAGUGUAGAGGUGAAAUUCGUAGAUAUUGGGAAGAACACCAGUGGCGAAGGCGGCUCACUGGCCAGUUUCUGACGCUAAAGUGCGAAAGCGUGGGGAUCAAACAGGAUUAGAUACCCUGGUAGUCCACGCUGUAAACGAUGAGUGCUAGGCGUCGGCACGCUUGCGUGUCGGUGCCGCAGCUAACGCGUGAAGCACUCCGCCUGGGGAGUACGGUCGCAAGAUUA